GGAUGUGAAGCUGAUCUGGCUGCAACGUCCGUCACCCCAUUGAUCACCAGGGUAGAUUCAGCUGAUCUGGCUGGCUAGGCAGGUGUCGCCUUCCUCCCUCACUGCUUCACGUGACUCCUUCCUGAAGCAGCGCGCUCAGUGGAAGAGGACGACCAUCCGCAAUAGAGGGGGACUGGUCUUUUGUCAAGGGUAUAAGAGUAGCUGUGCUCCCCUGCUGGAACCUCCAAACAAGCUCUCAAGGUUCAUGAACAUGAUUUUAUUUCAACUGUUGUAUGAUCAAUAAUAGAGCUUCAUCGUGAUGGUGUUCAAAGAU
rnacentral:snRNA from 1 species